rnacentral:tRNA from 1 species
CCUUCGAUAGCUCAGUUGGUAGAGCGGAGGACUGUAGGUACAACAUGUUGGAUAUCCUUAGGUCGCUGGUUCGAAUCCGGCUCGAAGGA